UACGUAGGGGGCGAGCGUUGUCCGGAUUUAUUGGGCGUAAAGAGCGUGUAGGCGGCCAGGUAGGUCUGCUGUGAAAACUCGAGGCUCAACCUCGAGACGUCGGCGGAAACCAUCUGGCUAGAGUCCGGAAGAGGAGUGUGGAAUUCCUGGUGUAGCGGUGAAAUGCGCAGAUAUCAGGAGGAACACCAAUUGCGAAGGCAGCACUCUGGGACGUGACUGACGCUGAGACGCGAAAGCGUGGGGAGCAAACAGG
rnacentral:rRNA from 1 species